rnacentral:rRNA from 1 species
GACUGAACCCAUAGGCGUUGAAAAGCCCCGGGAUGACUUGUGGAUAGGGGUGAAAGGCCAAUCAAACUUCGUGAUAGCUGGUUCUCUCCGAAAUAUAUUUAGGUAUAGCGUUGUGUCGUAAUAUAAGGGGGUAGAGCACUGAAUGGGCUAGGGCAUACACCAAUGUACCAAACCCUAUCAAACUCCGAAUACCUUAUAUGUAAUCACAGCAGUCAGGCGGCGAGUGAUAAAAUCCGUCGUCAAGAGGGAAACAACCCAG